CAUUGUGAGGCGGGGGCUGAAGGAAGCCGGAGGCAAACCACUGGCCUGUAAAAGUUGUCCGGAUAGGCUGUGAAGCGUGGAUGAGGUUACCAAAACAAACGAAAGCCCAAUAACUGCACGGAACGCCAACAGUAGACGGGGCAGGUGAUU
rnacentral:ncRNA from 1 species